rnacentral:misc_RNA from 1 species
GAUGAAGAACGCAGCGAAAUGCGAUAAGUAAUGUGAAUUGCAGAAUUCAGUGAAUCAUCGAAUCUUUGAACGCACAUUGCGCCCGCCAGUAUUCUGGCGGGCAUGCCUGUUCGAGCGUCAUUUCAACCAUCAAGCCCCAGGCUUGUGUUGGGGACCUGCGGCUGCCGCAGGCCCUGAAAACCAGUGGCGGGCUCGCUGUCACACCGGGCGUAGUAGAUUUCAUCUCGCUCAGGGCGUGCUGCGGGUUCCGGCCGUUAAAAAGCCUUUUUUACCCAAGGUUGACCUCGGAUCAGGUAGGAAGACCCGCUGAACUUAAGCAUAUCAAUAAGCGGAGGA